rnacentral:rRNA from 1 species
AAUCAACGCUGGCGGCAUGCCUAACACAUGCAAGUCGAACGGGAAAGUGGGAGCAAUCCCAUGAGUAUAGUGGCGCACGGGUGAGUAACACGUGACUAACCUACCCUCGAGUGGGGAAUAACCCGGGAAACCGGGCUAACACCGCAUAAUACCGCAAGGUCAAAUGCGCAAGCAGCUUGAGGAGGGGUCGCGGUUGAUUAGCUAGUUGGUAGGUAAUGGCCUACCAAGGCAGNGAUCAAUAGCCGGCCUGAGAGGGCGCACGGCCACACUGGAACUGAAACACGGUCCAGACUCCUACGGGA